UGCGGGGUGGUGUAAUGGUAGCACAACUGCCUUUGGAGCAGUUUGUCUAGGUUCGAAUCCUAGCCCCGCAG
rnacentral:tRNA from 1 species